CAUCUUCAACGGGCAAUUCUUCUGACAAACUAUACAAUGGUGUCAUGGUGCACCUGGAAUAUCUUCAUUGUUUUGUUUGGCUUAUAAGAGACUGCAAUACAAUGCGGAGAGGUAAUAUGGGAACGAGGAUUAUUAAAAAAAGGAUAUAGUAUUUGUCAUGGUGUUGCUGGAAAUGGUUAUGCUUUUAUACAUUUAUUCCAACAAACAAAGGUUUGAUUAAAUUUCUUGGAUAUUUAUGGAAUAGGAGAGACCGGAGCUGGUUGAUACAUUUCUUUCAAUAAAUUUUUACAUAUAACUAAUAAAUAAAAUAAAUACCGCAAAGAUAUUUUUCAAUAGCCACAUGCUUCAACAACAUAGAAAUUAUUUUUAUAAUUUAAUAAUGUAACUAAUUUAGUUGUAUUAAUGGAAAAUGUAAGGUGAUGCAACUUGUAACAACCUAUCCCAUAUGCGGGAUCAAUUGUUACAGUUACUGGAAUCAGUCGUUACAUAUUCAGAUUUCAAAAUAUAACGCAUUUAAUUGAAAGAAAUAAAAAAAAUUGUGCAUAACAUAA